UGGGGAAUAUUGCACAAUGGACGGAAGUUUGAUGCAGCGACGCCGCGUGGAGGGUGUAGGCCUUCGGGUUGUGAACUCCUUUUUCCCGCGAAAAAGGCACAGUUUUGGCUGUGUCGAUGGUAGGGGGGGAAGAAGCGCCGGCUAACUACGUGCCAGCAGCCGCGGUAAUACGUAGGGCGCGAGCGUUGUCCGGAUUUAUUGGGCGUAAAGAGCUCGUAGGUGGUUCGUCGCGUCUGUCGUGAAAGCCAGCAGCUUAACUGUUGGUCUGCGGUGGAUACGGGCGGGCUUGAGGGCGGUAGGGGUGACUGGAAUUCCUGGUGUAGCGGUGGAAUGCGCAGAUAUCAGGAGGAACACCGAUGGCGAAGGCAGGUCACUGGGCCAUUACUGACACUGAGGAGCGAAAGCGUGGGGAGCGAACAGG
rnacentral:rRNA from 1 species